GCAGUCGAACGGCAGCACAGUAAGAGCUUGCUCUUAUGGGUGGCGAGUGGCGGACGGGUGAGGAAUACAUCGGAAUCUACCUUUUCGUGGGGGAUAACGUAGGGAAACUUACGCUAAUACCGCAUACGACCUUCGGGUGAAAGCAGGGGACCUUCGGGCCUUGCGCGGAUAGAUGAGCCGAUGUCGGAUUAGCUAGUUGGCGGGGUAAAGGCCCACCAAGGCGACGAUCCGUAGCUGGUCUGAGAGGAUGAUCAGCCACACUGGAACUGAGACACGGUCCAGACUCCUACGGGAGGCAGCAGUGGGGAAUAUUGGACAAUGGGCGCAAGCCUGAUCCAGCCAUACCGCGUGGGUGAAGAAGGCCUUCGGGUUGUAAAGCCCUUUUGUUGGGAAAGAAAAGCAAUCGGCUAAUACCCGGUUGUUCUGACGGUACCCAAAGAAUAAGCACCGGCUAACUUCGUGCCAGCAGCCGCGGUAAUACGAAGGGUGCAAGCGUUACUCGGAAUUACUGGGCGUAAAGCGUGCGUAGGUGGUUGUUUAAGUCUGUUGUGAAAGCCCUGGGCUCAACCUGGGAAUUGCAGUGGAUACUGGGCGACUAGAGUGUGGUAGAGGGUAGUGGAAUUCCCGGUGUAGCGGUG
rnacentral:rRNA from 1 species